AUACGGAGGGUGCAAGCGUUAAUCGGAAUUACUGGGCGUAAAGCGUACGUAGGCGGUUUGUUAAGUUAGAUGUGAAAGCCCCGGGCUUAACCUGGGAACUGCAUUUAAAACUGGUAAACUAGAGUUGAGUAGAGGGGAGUGGAAUUUCAGGUGUAGCGGUGAAAUGCGUAGAGAUCUGAAGGAACACCAGUGGCGAAGGCGACCCCCUGGACUCAAACUGACGCUGAGGUACGAAAGCGUGGGUAGCAAACGGGAUUAGAAACCCCAGUAGUCC
rnacentral:rRNA from 1 species